UUCGGGAUGGCUGAAAAGCUGAUGGCGGAUAUUCUCACAUUUGCUUUGGUCAGCAAUGUCGGUCGUAACGAUGCGACAGAGCAAGUUAGAUUUGCAGCGAUUGGUACAACCUUCUGCCACAACCUCAUCCGCAUUUUUGUGGACACAUUGACAUACUUGAAAUAGAGCUGAAAUAGAGCGUCAUCUGUUAACAUCCGCUGGAAGAGCAUAUCCAUCGACUGUGGCGUCAAAUCAGUAAGACCAUAUUCUUGCUUAGCCUGAUAGAGUUCUGACCAAACAGGGGCGGCUUCUGAACCUCGUUGAUUAGCUUCAGUCAAGUUCAUGAUAAAAGUGCUGAAAUCCAACACAGACUUAAAAGGAAAAGUUUAAAAAAAUAAAUACAUGUUAUAAUUUUUUUAAUUAUCGAUAGUUUUAGGAAAGGUAAACAAACCCAGGUAGAACCAGGUCGUUGACCAUCAACGGUGUAAGUACGGUAUCCCGGGUUGAGUUUAGAAUAGGUGGUAAGACUUGGCGCAAUAAAGGCAACAUUGACUGGCCGAGUAAGUUCAACCGUGUCGUAGAAAACUUUGUAUUCAUCUUUGUGGGUAUGCCCGUAAAACUGGGCAGCCACGGUUGAUUCAAACCGGUUAAUAAUCUUGGAAAAUUCGCGACUAAAGAUAGUCCAGCAAUCACCGUUGCCCGGUGGAAUAUGGCUGAGAAUAUGAACCUAAAAAAGUUCAGCUUCUUCCAGAAUCUGAUUAAGCCACAAAAGACUGGAGGCUGGAUCCUGUGAUUUAUAGUAGGUCCAGUAGUUCAAGGUGUAGCAAUAGUUCAUGUUCAUCGAAACUAUACGAAGUCCCGGUUGGACAAGGGCAGUAUAGAAGCCUCCAUAACGGAUAGUAGAGGAAACUUCGGCCGGAAGCCAUCGUGCCCAUUGCCGGUCAGCUUCAUCGUACAGCCAACUGGUGCUUAACUCGGGGUCGGUAAUCUCCGGUGGAGAAAAACUGUGACGGCGUGGCGACCAACAGGAAACGUUAUCGAAGAGAAUCAUAAGAAAAUUUUUUCAAUGGCUGAAUUACGUGUUGACAGGAUGGGACUCGUGGUUUCCCAACGUGGGGUACACAGUUGACCAGACAUCGUGAGGUGUCAAAUCUCCUGUCCAGAUAAUAUAGCCAACAUCCUGAAAAGAGAAAGCAAUUUUAAUUGACAUUGCGUCUUGUCUGAUAAUUGUUGGAUGGCAUUAAUUACCGGGUGUCUCGUCGCCAUCUGAGAGACUGCAUCUUCAAUUAAAUACCAGGGCAUGUCACAUGAUCGAUAGUCUCCCCAAUAUCCAGCAGCAUCGGUGGCAUUAACGACUUCGCCGGACGUAGCCCGACAGCACAGAGGAUCUCCACACAUGGCGUUUGCUCCGGCAAGGUAUUCCGGAUCAUAAUGAAUGUCGGCCAAAUGCAAUACUUUAAUCGUUGGUGAAUCUGGCUGCAAACGAUAUUGUAAAUCUGUUAUCAUAACUUUUUAUCGGUUCCUUGUAAGUCCGAUGUGUUUUUUAACAAUACAUUUUAUCGAUAAGGUUGA
rnacentral:lncRNA from 1 species